GAUGAACGCUAGCGGCAGGCUUAAUACAUGCAAGUCGUGGGGCAGCGCAGGUAGCAAUACUGGGCGGCGAUCGGCAAACGGGUGCGGAACACGUACACAACCUUCCGAGAAGUGGGGAAUAGCCCAGAGAAAUUUGGAUUAAUACCCCGUAACAUAACGAUGUGGCAUCACAUUGUUAUUAUAGCUUCGGCGCUUCUUGAUGGGUGUGCGGCUGAUUAGAUAGUUGGCGGGGUAACGGCCCACCAAGUCUACGAUCAGUAGCUGAUGUGAGAGCAUGAUCAGCCACACGGGCACUGAGACACGGGCCCGACUCCUACGGGAGGCAGCAGUAAGGAAUAUUGGUCAAUAGGACGGC
rnacentral:rRNA from 1 species